CCUUAGUAGCGGCGAGCGAACAGGGAAGAGCCCAGCGCCGAAUUCCGCGUCUCAAAGGGCGUUUGGAACAUGUGGCGUUUAGGAGGAAUCUCUCCGAGGGCAGACGGUGUCGCAAGUCCCCCUGAACGGGGCUGUGAUCCAGAGCGGGUGCGAGGCCCAUAGCUGGUACCGUCUCCUUUGGGUGUCCCCUCCUUGGAGUCGGGUUGCUUGGGAGUGCAGCCCUAAUUGGGUGGUAAACUCCACCUAAAGCUAAAUACGUCCGUGAGACCGAUAGCAAACAAGUACCGUGAGGGAAAGUUGCAAAGAACUUUGAAGAGAGAGUUCAAGAGUACGUGAAACCGCUCAGAGGCAAACGGGUGGGCCCACGAAAGCCGAAGGCGGGGGGAUUCAGUCGAGAGGACGGUGGGGCAGGACUGGCUGGUUGGACGGACCGUGCCAGGCCGGGUCAGUUCCCGAGAUCUGCCGCCUUUCGACGCAUUUCCCCCUGCUUAGUAGGACGCCGCAACCGGUUGGCGCUGCAGCCAUAAGGGAGAGUAAAUGGAAGGUAGCCAGUGAGUUCUUCUUCGGAGGCGCGAGCUGGUCCUAAGCCGACUCUCCUGGUGCUUGUGGCCCGACCGUGGUCGUGAGUCCCUCAACGGGAUGUCGCCGAGCCCUCUGACUGGAGCGGGAGAAGUGGCAGGCUGCUUUCCGCGGAAAAAAUCGAUCGCUUCACGCGUGCAGUGGGCGAUCUCCGGAGGUAGCUGCUGGUGCGUUUUUCUCCUGCGCUGGGCACAGGCAGUUGGCGGCGAGUAGGUCGGUCACCCACCCGACCCGUCUUGAAACACGGACCAAGGAGUCUAACAUGUGCGCGAGUCAUUGGGUCUUGAACAAGCCCAAAGGCGCAAUGAAAGUGAAGACCAGCACUGAAGCUGGUGGAGUUGGGAAACUGUGUCACUGAAGAUGCAGUUGCACCAACGGCCCGUCCCGUCCGCAUUGUCGGUGGGGCGGAGCGAGAGCGUACACGUUGGGACCCGAAAGAUGGUGAACUAUGCCUGGGCAGGACGAAGCCAGAGGAAACUCUGGUGGAGGUCCG
rnacentral:rRNA from 1 species